rnacentral:rRNA from 1 species
UACAGAGGUCUCAAGCGUUGUUCGGAUUUAUUGGGCGUAAAGGGUGCGCAGGCGGUGUGGUAAGUUUGGUGUGAAAUCCUGGGGCUCAACCCCAGAAUUGCACUGAAUACUGCCAUGCUAGAGGACUGGAGAGGAGAUUGGAAUUCACGGUGUAGCAGUGAAAUGCGUAGAUAUCGUGAGGAAGACCAGUGGCGAAGGCGAAAUCUCUGGACAGUUCCGUG